GACGAACGCUGGCGGCGUGCUUAACACAUGCAAGUCGAACGCUGAAGACCUGGCUUUUGUUGGGUUGGAUGAGUGGCGAACGGGUGAGUAACACGUGAGUAACCUGCCCUCUUCUUUGGGAUAACGCCCGGAAACGGGUGCUAAUACUGGAUAUUCACUGAUCUUCGCAUGGGGGUUGGUGGAAAGGUUUGUUCUGGUGGGGGAUGGGCUCGCGGCCUAUCAGCUUGUUGGUGGGGUGAUGGCCUACCAAGGCUUUGACGGGUAGCCGGCCUGAGAGGGUGACCGGUCACAUUGGGACUGAGAUACGGCCCAGACUCCUACGGGAGGCAGCAGUGGGGAAUAUAGCACAAUGGGCGAAAGCCUGAUGCAGCGACGCCGCGUGAGGGAUGGAGGCCUUCGGGUUGUAAACCUCUUUCGCUCAUGGUCAAGCCGCAACUGUGGGUUGUGGUGAGGGUAGUGGGUAAAGAAGCGCCGGCUAACUACGUG
rnacentral:rRNA from 1 species